UUAAAAUGAAUUUUUUUUAAUCUAACGGGCUAUAAAUAUAAAAUUUUAAGAUAUAAAAAUGUUACUUUCUCGAAACCCUAACAUAUUAAAUUAGCCGCCAAGAAGGGAGUAACAUACCAAGAAGCGAUUUCCGGCGACAAAAUUCGAAUUCCGACGGCUUCUAAAUGCGAUUUCCGGCAACAAGAGGCGAAUUCCGACGGCGGUCUUUCUCGCGAUAUUCUAGUCGUGUUUCUCACAGUCUCUUUUACUCUUGUUCUGUCUUUUCCGGAUAUAUCGUUAUGUCUCCGGCGUAAAUUAUGAGGGGCUCGUUUUUCUCAAUCCGGCCACGGUGGUUCAAGGUUGUUUAAGAUAUUCAGAAGGUGUUGAAUGGUGGUUAAUGAUGGUUGAAAUGGUAAAAGGUGUUUGACGAUGGUAAAUGGUGGUUCCGGUGAUCUUUGUUUCGAUUUCUCUUUCUCCCUUUCUAUCUCCGGCGUGGUUUGGUUACCGCCGGUUAGUUGUUGUCGGCGGUAGUUUGUUGAUUGAAGUUGGUUCCGGUGGUGAACAAAUGUUUUGAUGAUUAUUGUUAAUAUACCAAUUAAAUGUUUUAUUUUCGGUUUAUAUAAAAUGUUUUGGUUUAUUAGUUGGUUAAAAGGAUUAAUAGUGUUCAAUCUUCAAUGUAAUUGUAGUUUGUUCAUAAUCUGAAAAUUUAUUCUUUUUAUAAAUUAAUCAGAGUCUUCAAAACAUUAAUAUCGUCUAUAUACAUGAAAAAGUUGAAUACGCAUAAAAAUCUGUAGUUAAUGUUUUCAAUGUAGUACUUUUUAUUUAUUGGAUAAAAAACCUGGAAUAAAAAAAAAAAAACUGCAAAAAAAGUUAGUAGUAGAAAGUCAACUACCAAACAAGUCAUGAUUGGAGAGGUAGAGUCAAGGAAAAAGGGGUAGUGAUAGUAGAAGAGAAAAUACAAAAAAAAAAAAUAAAAAAAUGGGGGAGUGUUUUCAAAAAAUAGACAUAAAAAUGGACUUUUCCAGCUAUAGACAUACAUUCCGCGGAGAAUCCUCCGCGGACGUCAUCUCCGUGGAAUGGAUCUUGAGGGUUUAUUUAUUUAUUUUUUUUUUUUUUUCAGAUCGAUUUUUCGUGGUUUAUAUUUAUUUCCCAAACUAAUUAUUUUUAAGAAAAGAUUAUCAUACUAUUAUAAUCUUUACUUGAAAAUAAUUAAUUGGGAAUUAAUAUAAACCCCGAAGAAUCGAUGUGAAAAAAAAAAAUAAAUAAAUAAACCCUCAAGAUCCAUUCCACGGAGAUGACGUCCGCGGAGGAUUCUCCGCGGAAUGUAUGUCUAUAGCUGGAAAAGUCCAUUUUUAUGUCUAUUUUUUGAAAACACCUCCAAUUUUUUGACUAUUUACGGUAUUUUCUCAUAGUAGAACCCUUGAAAAAAUCGUGAAUGAUAUAGGAGAGACACUAUUAUAAUAGGUAGGUGUCUAGGUGAGAGUGAGAGAAAUUAUAUGAUGAGGUUGCAUGUAACUUCAAAUAAUUAAAUAUUGAAUGGUUCGUUAGUUGAUGUUAGGAACAAGAUUUUCAUGGGAUCUGUAUAUGCAUGUGUAAAGAUGGAUAGGUUCCAGCAAGUGUCUCACAUUUUGUUUCCCUCUAUUAGAACUGUAAUGCUGCAAAUCCAUAUAUACCUUUCUAUUCUGAGUUGUUUGGCCUCCUCUCCCUAUGAUUUGGAUCUCUAAAACGUAAACAACCAUAAUAAAAAAAAAACCUCACCUGAUUAUGUUGGAUAUUUUGGGACCACUAAUAAAUGUAUAUAAAUAAUGUUAUCAUUAAUUUUAUAUUAUUAUGGAAAUUAUAUAAAAUUGUUGAUGGACCGGUUUUAUUAAUAAAUAAAGAUAUACAUUUACCAUGUUUAUCUUGUGGGUUGAGUUCCCGGUUUGACUCAAGAUCUCCUAAAUCCCUAAUAUCUCUCACAUUCGGUUAUAUCUCCAUCUAUAUAAAUACGUGAUGAGAAGCAAAAUUUACAAUAUACGAAAAUACAUAUAAGAAAUUGUUUUAGGGUUUGCUGUGGGAUUUAGAGAGGGUUGUUGAGAUCAACUGGAAAACCAAACCCUAGUUCUUCAGAUCUGAAUAUCAUAAUGAAAUCAGGUAUGUAAUCAUUCUUUCAUGUCUAAGAUUUCGUUUAAUCAGAUUCGAGAUUAAAGAUCUUCAUAUUAUGCUUCCGUGUUUUAUGUUUUGGUUAUGAAAAUAGCCAACAAUUGGUAUCAGAGACUACUCGAAUCUAUUACUAGAAUAUAUUUUAAUUUUUUUAAGAUCUAUUUUGGGUUGGUUUCAAAUCUAAACCUUCGAUCUAAAACAUACAUGUAUAUGUGUGUGUUUAGUCUUCUUGUUCUUGUCCGUGUUAUUUUGCUUGAAUGUGCAUGCAUAAAGCUGGAUAUGAGUAAACGUCCAAUAUAUUGUUUGUUUUUAACAUAAGGAAUUUCGAUUAUGUAUUUAUAUGAUUCAAGAUUACAAUUAUGAUAAAUUUUGGAUAUAAUUAAUCGUUAUUAAGGUGAUUUGACUAUACAUACACGAUUUUUCUUUGGGAAUGAUAUUUUGAAAAGCAAAGUCAUAUCACGUGGCUGUAAAAGUGUUUCUUCAUGUCCUUUUCGCUAAUACAUGAUGUUUAAUUUAAUCAUCUAUUAUUUUUAUGUAUUUUUUUUAUUUUAUUAAUUUAACGAGGAGGAUUCGGACAUUCCCCAUGAUGUUAUUUAUAUUUAGGAUACUUAUUAUCUCUUUACCUGUCCGGAUAUAAUUAUGUCAAAAUGGUUUAUUUAUUUUAAGGCUAUGCAUAUCUUCCAAAUUUGAAAGUUAUCAUGUUUUAAGAAAUCGAGAGAAUAAAUAUUUUAAUGUUCGUUAGUGUUCAUAAUUGCUUUUCAAGUACUUAAUUUUGAUAAAGUUGUCAAAUUUUCAUAGUAAUCAGUUUGCUGGAUAAUAGAUUUACAAAAUAUAGUAUUUGUGAAAAUUAAUUUAUAAAGAAAUUAAAUGUUAUGUGUAUCGUCAUCAUGUGUUUGUAUGUUAUUGAUCCAUCUGGUUGCCUAUCCUUUACUUAUCCAUCAUUCUUUUGUUUUGAUUUUUUUUAUCAAAGCAAAUUUAUUUGUGUUAAGGACAUACAUAUAUUAUUUUCUUGUGAUUCCCACAACGACUUAAGAGUCUAUAUGAAUAUUAUGUUUGACUUGACAUGAAUAUUGGAAUUUUUUUUUUAAUUUAAUUUAAUUUUAUAUUAUAAUAUGGGCUUAUGUCAACAUAUCUUGACAUUUUGUGUAAAGUUUGCCUACAUCUAAAUUUUAAUCUCCUGAUUUUGGAAAUCGAUUUAGAUCAUCAUUUUUAAAGAGACGUACUCAACUUGUCGCCUACUUAAGUCGUUUUUUAAGGUUGUCAAUAAAUUCAAUUAUGAAAAAUUUAUAUUUUGGUUUAUGUGUUUAUUAAUGCGGAUAUUAAUCGACCCAAAGGUAGGUUAAUAUUUGGGCGGAUAAACACAUGUUUGAUGAUAAAUAUGUGACAAUUUUUAGGUUACAUGUUAUUAAUAAGUCAAUCCAAAGAGGAGCUUAUUAAUUGACAUGAUAUUUUGUGAAUUCUUAUUAUCAAAAUUUAUAGUUUAUGUGUUUAUUAAUGCGGAUAUUAGCCGACCCAAAGGUAGACUGAUAUUUUGCCGAAUAAACAUAUAUGUGAUGAUAAACAUGUGAUGAUUUAUUUGGGUUCCAUGUGACUAAUAAGUCAAUCCAAAGAGGGGCUUGUUAAUUGACAUGAUUUAUUGUCAAAGUUUAUCUUUAAAACAAGGCUAUCUCUUGCAAGUUAGUAUUACUGUCCAAAGACUUGAUAUUAAUGUUAUGUCGAUACUUUGUAAAGAUAUCAUAAAUUGAAUUUAUUGAUUACAGUUUAUGGAUUAAUGAGCAUAAAAAUAGAUUUGUCUAUGUUUGAAUUAUGGUUUUAUAUCUGCUAACAUUGAUCACAUUUAUGAUUCAUGUACUCAAUGCAAUUAACUUUAAGGAAUGGAAUGAGGGCAUUAUGUUAGUUCUCAAUUGCAUGGAUAUUGACCUUGCACUUUGAAUAGAGCAACAUUCUUUGAGGAUGUUGAGUUUGGGGGAGAAACAAGGUUAAAACAUUGUCCUUAAGGAGGAAUCAAUCUUGAUUCCUAUUAUUGCUUUCGAUAGUAUGCAAAUUAUGAAUCAGUUUUCGACAAUGUUUUUCAAUCUCCUAUUUUGAAUACACAAACUCAACAACCUCAACUUUGGAUAUCCUAUGCGCGGUACCACUUUUUUUAUCAAUUUAUUAUCUCUUUUGGUUUUAGGGUAAAUACAGUAAAUGAUAGUAAAUUUGUAUUUCUGGUUUUGGGUCGAUAUCUAUGCAACCCAAGUUUGGGUCAUAAGAAAGUAGCCAAAUGAAUUUUGAGAUAUUUAUAUAUAACAAAAGGCUAUAUGCUCAACUAUAGGAAAUCAGAUGUUUUGGAGAUUAUUUUUUAUUAAAAAUCUGAUUUUAUUAGAUGCCAAAAUGGUUACCUGUCCAUAUUGGGAUACUUUACAUUUUAGCAUGAUGAGCCACUUCAUGGAAUAGACUUCGGUAGCAUCUUCCAUAAUGGCAUCAUAAUUUAUAGCGUGGAAUAUGGUUGCGGAAAUUUGUCACGAGGCUACACAUUAUUGGUAUUGAAAGACCAUUAAAGUUGUGAUAAUAAAUCAGCAAUGUUAUAUUCCAAUAACAGAAGUUCUAUUAAGUCAAAGCAUAUUGACAUCAAGUUUCCUUCUGUUAACACAAUAGUGCAAAAUGGAAAUAUAUAUAACACAUAUGAACAAACUCCAUGAAAGCGGAUCCGCUCAUAAAGGGAUUACCUCCCUAGGUCUUUCAUGAGCAUACUACACACGUUGGUGUGAUAUUUGGUUUUAGUGGGAGUUUUAUGGUGCGUUAUGUCUUGUUUAAGAAUAUGUUUUUCUGUACAGAAUUAAGAAUUCGGUUGACUCCAUUAUUAGUUGCACUUAUUUGAAGUUUGAUCUCACUUCAAUCUCAAGAGGAACUCGUUGUAAAUCUAUUUAGAUUUUAAAACCACACAUCAUGUUUAAUCUAUGUCGUUAGUUAUAUAUGUAUAUGUGACCAUUGAUAGGUUUAGUUACGUAAAUUGUAACGAAGGCCGCUUUGAUCCUAUACUUGUAUGAUUAGCGGACGAGAUUGUUUAAGGGUACCAAUAUUAUGAUAACAUUCAUUAAAGCGCUUAUACAGUUAUAUAUACAUUUAUGCAUUCGUGGUCCAGUGGGAGAUUGCUGGAUAUUUUGGGACCACUAAUAAAUGUAUAUAAAUAAUGUUAUCAUUAAUUUUAUAUUAUUAUGGAAAUUAUAUAAAAUUGUUGAUGGACCGAUUUUAUUAAUAAAUAAAGAUAUACACUUACCAUGUUUAUCUUGUGGGUUGAGUUCCCGGUUUGACUCAAGAUCUCCUUAAUCCCUAAUAUCUCUCACAUUCGGUUAUAUCUCCAUCUAUAUAAAUACGUGAUGAGAAGCAAAAUUUACAAUAUACGAAAAUACAUAUAAGAAAUUGUUUUAGGGUUUGCUGUGGGAUUUAGAGAGGGUUGUUGAGAUCAACUGGAAAACCAAACCCUAGUUCUUCAGAUCUGAAUAUCAUAAUGAAAUCAGGUAUGUAAUCGUUCUUUCAUGUCUAAGAUUUCUUUUAAUCAGAUUCGAGAUUAAAGAUCUUCAUAUUAUGCUUCCAUGUUUUAUGUUUUGGUUAUGAAAAUAACCAACAUAUCAAGCAUGUACCUUAAUCUUAUCUCUCUAAUAACAAUCACAAAGCUCCAUAAUCCUAUGCAAUACCAUCACCCUAUUAUAAAAAUUACAUCAUUACCGCACAUCCCCAUCUAAUCUCAUAUACAACCAUCACUUUUUUUUUUUUUUUUUUUUUUUUUUUUUUUUUUUUUUACAAACGGUUUCCAAUUUUCCAUGUUGAGUUGUUGACGAGAAGUGGGGCUUCCAUAUUGGGUUCAUGAGAAGUGGGGCUUCCAUACUAGGCUAACGAGAAGUUGGGGUGUUAUCUUGGAUUUACAAGAAGUAGGACUGCAAUCGUAGGUAAUUCAAACCUUCAACGCAUCACCCCAUAUAAACAUAUGUUCCCUUUAUACCAAAGAAUAACAUUUGCAUAUUUCCAUAUGACAUUUACCAUCUUAAAUCAGAAAAAUACCACAUACCAAGCAUCAUGCAAACCAUUUUCGUUAUUAUAUAUAGCCACAUUAGAGAAAAAAAAAAUUAACUCUUCAGUUAUUCAGGAAAGUUGUAGGUUUUUGUGGGUAAAUUGCAUAAAAGAUCUAUAAGUUUUAUGAUUUUUUGAUUAGAUCCAAAACUUUUUUUACAAGAAAAUCCUACAACUUUCGAAAAUUUCUAUUUUGCCCGUUUACCGGAAGUUAACAAAAUGAAAAAAUAAGAAAGUUGUAGGGUUCUAUUUUUUUAUUAUUUAUUUUUUUUAUUUUUUUGUAAAAACAAGUUUUGAUUUACACUGGAAUAUCAUAAAAAUAUGAAACGUUUUGAAAUUAGUCUUUUAUAUUUUCAAUCAAAACCCAAUAAUUCGAAGAGAAAAAAACAUAAUUUUAAUACAAACUAGGUGAGUAACCCCGCAUUGCGAGGUCGUAUGUACACCGAUGAGAAACCUCACUUUUGGGGUUGUUAUUGUUUGACUGUCGCUCUUAAAGAAAACUAAUGGAAGACAUUAAAGAGGAUGUUAUUGUUUGACUGUCGUUCUUAAAGGACAUUGUGGGGAUUAGAGGGUACUUCAUAGCUUGUUAAUUACUGAAUUUUUUUAAUUGUUUUUUUUUUGUUAUUAUACGAGUAGUUGUAAAACUGUUGUGUAAACCAUUUAAUAACUUUAAGAUAGUGUACUGGAUGUUUGAAAUGGUUUUAGAAAGUGAUCAUGUAUUUGCCAAAAAUUUGCAGAUGAGUUGUCAACUUGCGUGAGUAUUUGUAUACAUACCGUUGAUGCAGAAUCAUAAACUGCGGAUGCUCUCUCAAAGUUCCUUGCCAUUCCCAAACCACACCACAAUAUUUGAUUGUAUUAAAUGUGAAUGUAGAGUCGAAUGUAAAUAUGCUUAGUAUAACAUCCUAAUUUAUUUUGAAAAAUCUACCCAAUUAUAUGAAUGUUAUAGAAUAAAAUACAAAUAAUAAUAAUAAUAAUAAUAAUAAUAAUAAAAUAAAAAAAAUUAAAAAAAACCUACUAUAAUACGUUGGAGAUCUUUAAGGACAAUUUUGUAAACGUAAGCAAAUUGUUGAGAUAGCAACCUCCGUAUAGAAAAGUCGAGCAAAAGUACACCUGAACUGACGACAGAUAGAUCUCUUAUCACAUUUAUACCGUAUGUUAUUACUAUAACCGCUCGUGCUUUCUGACCUUCUUAAUAACGUUCUUCAUGUAGAGAUCAAGUUCUUCUCUCUCUGGUGUGAACCUAACACAUCAGAAAGCCAUAUAUUAAUGUAGCUUCGCAAAAGGGUAAAAUAGUCAAAUGUCACUCAAAAGGUUAUAGAACCCUCACCCCAUAUGCUAGAUAUGAGAUUAACAAAAAAAAAAUACAUUAAUGUCGCUUCGGAAAAGGGGUAAAAUAGUUAAAUGUCACUUUCGCAUUUGAUACUUUCGCUUUCUUUUUUGGAAAAAAAUUCAGAACAAAUUUUACCACAUUUAUAAAAAAUAAAUGGAAAGUUGAACAAAAUGGCAAUGUAUGUCGUUUUUUGGGUACAGAAUUUAAAAUAAAUUGAAAAAAAAACAGAAAAAAUAGGUAUAAAUGUAAAGUACAUUCAUAUUUAGGACAUUUUACUCCUAAAAAUGGAAAUUACACCUAAUGAAAAUGUAGUUAUUUUUUUGGGAAAAAAAAUCAAAACAAAUUACAUAAAACAGAAAAAAAAAUGUAUAAAUUCUAAAUACAUUACUAUUUCCUGCAUUUGCCAUCUAAAUAUGAAAGUGCACUAAAUGGAAAUGUACUUUGGAUUUUGGUAAAAAAACAAAACAAAACUGCAAAGUACAUUGCUAUUUAGUGCAUUGUCCUUAUCAUUACUUCUUUGAUGGCUCCAAUAUUGACUUGUUUUAAUAAAGAAGCUAAUAAAAAAAAAUUCAAAAACCCCAUAAUAAGUUAGUAAAGAGAUAAAUAAAUCAAAAAACAAAAAGUUAACUUGUUAAAACGGCCAUUUUCCUUUUUUUGUACUCAUUGCAUCUUUUAAUACGUCAAAAUUUAUAACAAACGAAAAAUGAAACAAUUAAAGGAAAACCUCAUUAAAAAGUGAAACCUGAUGCAACACCUAUUCGUCGACCAACUGAUGGAUUGAUUUAUAAAUUAGCCCCUACAAUCUCAUCAGGCCCCCUACACAUAAAAAUUUAAAUUAAUCAAAUUUCUUUUGGACCAAACGGGUACAAAUUCUGGUAAAUUUGAUGAAAAUGAAAGAAAUUGUUGGUAAUCACAAAUAAACAAUAGAUAUUGAUUAAAUUCUGGUAAAUUUGAUCAAAAAUACAUAUAUUAAACGUGGAAGAUUAGCAUCCUUUAAACAAAAAGAAUAGCAUAAUGUAAACAAACCAAAUGAUUGUAAAUCGGAUUUGAGAAAUUGGAGAAAGCCUAACUUCUUAAAUUAAGUCAACUUGAUUGGUAAUCACAAAUAAACAAUAAAUAUUGGUUCACAGCAAAUCUGUUUGAAAGAGAAAUUGACAAAAAAAAAAGUAGCCUAAACAAAGUUUAAACAAAUGGCUUUGAAGAGGUGCAAAAUAAAACGAAAAACAAUAACAUGUUGGUAAGAAGUUGUUUCAAUACUUGAUUACUGUUAAAGAGUUUAAAUGUCAAUAUCAACUAAUUUAAAUAAAACUGUGUAAGUUUGAGAAAUCUUAACAUCUUCAUUUGGUUGAAAAAAAUAAUACACUAAACAAAUGAAUCGAUAUAUUAUUAUUUCAUAUAACUCACCAUAAAAAUAUAAUAUUUAAUGUAGAUUACAAUAAUAAUGUAUUUUUUCUCCAAAUUGUCAUUGUUAUUUUGAAUUAGUUAAACGAUAAUAAUCUACUUAAUUUUUUUCCAUGAUUUUCUAAAAUAUUUAAGAUAUUGCACUAAGCUUCCAAACUCCAAACAUCAUGCAUCAAAUAUUGGCAAAAUAAAAAACAGAAGAAGAGUAUAGUACCAUUCACAUUAUAAAUUCUAGAUACAGACUGAUUCAAAUGCUUCAAGGACAUCAUUUUAAUCUGUUUUCCAAAAACAAAGGUAACUAACAAUUAGAAACCAACGAAACUAUCCUAUUUAGGCAAAUAAGUAAAUUAACAGAAAUAACGGAACAAACUCACGUAAAAUAGAGCGUAGUGAAUGAAAGGGAACCAUUGAUUUAAUCAUAACAUUAGUUUUCUUUGAUUCAACACAUCUCUUACCUUUAGAGCUUCACUCAACAUCUUCAUUCGUUGAAUUAUUGUUGCUUGUUAGAGAUGGAUAUGGUGCAUCAAGGUCAAGAUGCACCGUCAAUUUCAUUAUCAAAUUCUGAUUUUUGAACUUGAUUUAUUCUUUUCAUGCAAAUUGUUAAUAUCCAGAUCAUUAAACAGCACCAAGACUCAAUUUUACAACCAAAAGCCAUUGUUUCAUAGAUCAAACCUGAAUGUGAAGCUUCUUGAUCAGGUACAAAUUCAAGAACAGAAACGGCACUUCAAUUUUCAAUAUUUCUAAGACCCUUCCAGCAAAAACUGUGAUAGAGGGUAAAGUAGUACAUGAAAUCAUAUAAAUUGAAAGAUGACUUAUACAUGAAAAACGGUAAUAAUGGUUCAAGAAAAAAGACUUGCCUCUAACGGCUUCAUUAGUUUUUUUUAAUUGGUCCUGCAAUAAACACAUCCAUCCCACAAUGACAUAAUAAACGCAAUCCACAUUGUUGGGUACGUUAUCAGGAAUUAAACGGAAAUUAAAAAAAAUAAAAAUACAUGCUAGAAAAUUUUCCCCUUACAAACUAAAAGCAGACUUCACACCUGGGAUGAGCCAACUCUUUGAAGUUUGAUUUAUGGGAUGCAUCUCUCCCUGAUAAAGAGAACUUGAAUGAGGAGAGAAAAACUAAAAAGGUCUUGAAAAUAAAUGCAGUGUGAUAAUGAUUAAAAAAGAACAAAUUACCUAGUGUUUAGUUAUUGGGUAACUACAGACACGACAACAAAAUCAUUCUUGAUGAGAAAAAUGUCCUCAUGCAACCCAAACAAUUGUUGAAUCCAAUGACACAGUUGCAGCGACAACAUACCUUGAAAUUAAGAUAUGCAUAGAAAGAAUAAAUGAAGGUUAUAUCAUGUUUUUAGUAACAAAAAGAUAAUAAGCACCUAUAUACCAAGGGUACAUAUGGAGCGUAUUGCAUUUGUUCCUGACUACUUAAUCCAAGGGUUGAUAUCACUUCAAUAGCAGUAGGAAGUAGUCCGUCUCAGUUUACAUAGAAAACAUUCCCUGCUUUAUGAACUUAAAACUAUGAUUAAAGCAUAAAAAAAGUAAAUGGUUAAUAAAUUAUGAAAUUAGGACAAAAAUCGCACCACCGCAUGCCGAUUGCAUUGGCGAUUUCUUCUUCUUCCUGUACAAUAUGUUGUUGCCGAAUAGAAAUCUUUGAAGAAGAAAGCAUGACACCACCGGUAUGCCCUAAAACGUCAUCAGAAACAUAAUAUUACAUGUAUAGACAACUGAACCAACUGUUAAUGCUCUUUUAACAGGAAAAAUAGAGAUUUGUUUCAUUACCUGUAAAAGCACUGCAAUUACAUAUGUCGUUCCUGUAAUUAGGGUUUCAAUCCAACGAAGAGAGAUGACGUUAUUGGAGCGGAGAGGAGAGUGCAACAGAAGAUGGAGAUGGCGCUGAGACGGUAGUAGGGUUUUAGAUUAAAGUGUUUACCUGCAGUGGAGGCAGCGACUG
rnacentral:lncRNA from 1 species